rnacentral:rRNA from 1 species
GACGAACGCUGGCGGCGUGCCUAAUACAUGCAAGUUGAGCGAUGAAGAUUGGUGCUUGCACCAAUUUGAAGAGCAGCGAACGGGUGAGUAACGCGUGGGGAAUCUGCCUUUGAGCGGGGGACAACAUUUGGAAACGAAUGCUAAUACCGCAUAACAACUUUAAACAUAAGUUUUAAGUUUGAAAGAUGCAAUUGCAUCACUCAAAGAUGAUCCCGCGUUGUAUUAGCUAGUUGGUGAGGUAAAGGCUCACCAAGGCGAUGAUACAUAGCCGACCUGAGAGGGUGAUCGGCCACAUUGGGACUGAGACGCGGCCCAAACUCCUACGGGAGGCAGCAGUAGGGAAUCUUCGGCAAUGGACGAAAGUCUGACCGAGCAACGCCGCGUGAGUGAAGAAGGUUUUCGGAUCGUAAAACUCUGUUGGUAGAGAAGAACGUUGGUGAGAGUGGAAAGCUCAUCAAGUGACGGUAACUACCCAGAAAGGGACGGCUAACUACGUG